UUUCUAAGCAGGCAGAUAUUGGGGAAGCGGUGCAAGCGAAGUUUGGAUUCGAUUAAGGAGAAAGCUGUUAAGAGGAAGAUUCGUAAUUCGAUCAUUUUCUGAGUUUGUGUGGAAGAUGACGUUUUUUUUUCUUUCUUUCUUUCUACAUGAGUGGGAAGAUGAAAGAGUAGGGAAGAUGAUGGGAAGAUUUAUUUUGUUUCUUUUGUUCAUUAAGGGUAAAAAUGUAUUUUCAUACAAAAUAUGGGUAGUUUUUAUAAUAGUGUGUAUAAUUUGUUUUUGGUAUAUGUUUUUACUAUAGAUAUACUAUGAUCGUAUUAUACUAUUAUAUGAAUACUAUUAUGUCGCAGCCCGAUAUAGCCAGUGAUA
rnacentral:lncRNA from 1 species